rnacentral:rRNA from 1 species
GACGAACGCUGGCGGCGUGCUUAACACAUGCAAGUCGAACGGAAAGGCCCUGCUUUUGUGGGUUGCUCGAGUGGCGAACGCGUGAGUAACACGUGAGUAACCUGCCCUUGACUUUGUGAUAACUUCUGGAAACUCGAGCUCAUACCGCAUAGAAUCUCCUGCUGCCUGUUGGUGGUUGGAAAGUUUCGGCUGUUGGGUCUGGACUCGCGGCUUCUCCGCUUGUUUGUCGGGUAGUUGCUUUCCAAGGCUUUGACGGGUAGCCGGCCUGAGAGGGUGACCGGGCACAUUGGGACUGAGAUACGGCGCAGAAUCCUACGGGAGGCAGCAGGGGGGAAUAUGGCACAAUGGGCGGAAGCGUGAGGCAGCAACGCUGCGUGCGGGAUGACCGCCUUCGGGUUGUAAACAGAUGUCGACUGUGACGAAGAGGGAGUGACGGUAAUGGGUAAAGAAGCACCGGCUAACUACGUG